GUAUUUUACACUUUGUAUUCUUAUUAUUGUUUAACCUUAGCUACCUUAUUGUCUAUUUUCUACAGAUAGCCAUAGGCAACGAAUAGUCAAUUGGAUUGAUGGAACUGGACAACUUUCAGCUGCAUUUGACUUUACAACAAAGGGAAUUCUCCAGGAAGCUGUAAAGGGAGAAUUUUGGCGUUUGCGUGAUCCUCAAGGGAAGCCCCCGGGUGUGGUCGGGUGGUGGCCAUCAAGAUCCGUCACAUUCAUAGAAAAUCAUGAUACAGGCUCAACUCAGGGUCAUUGGCCUUUCCCGAAAGACCAUAUUAUGGAGGUGAUAGAUC